rnacentral:snRNA from 1 species
AGCUUUGCGCAGUAGCAGUAUCGUAGCCAAUGAGGUUUAUCCGAGGCAUGAUUAUUGCUAAUUGAAAAAAAUUAAAAGU